AUGAAUUCCAAGUCCUGAAGCCACAGAGCUGAAGUGCAAACUUGGAGCUUGGGCUGUGGAUUGUUUCAGUGAUUCUACUAAGUCUGGCUUACAAGGGUAUUACUUUAAUCUACCAAUGACUUCCUUGCAUAUACAUGUAAUAAUAUACAUCAUCCUGAGUUCCUGGUCAUGCAUACGGCUGCUCAGCUAUGCACAGCCACCUUAUCAGUCAGGCUUCAGUGGUGGUGACUCUGUUGAAAAAAUGGAAGCAAUGAUAAGGAAAAGGCAGUAGAAACUGGAAAUGCUGUUUGCUGCGAACAGUGCCCCAGCUGAGUCCAGGCCAGACUGGACCUGAGCUCACUGAAGGAUAAGGGUCUGACUUCUUUUCCACCUGGUUCUCUGGUGUUUCUGCAUUGCCGGCCAGGGUUGGUGAUCAGCACCUGGACGUGCAGCUAUGGCUGUAAUUCACAGAUGUUAUCUGGGUCCAAUGGAAUCAAGGGGCAGAGCCAGGUUCGAAGUGGAUGCCGUGGCUGAACAUCACGGCUCACUCAGCCGCCCAACAGAGACCAUCUGGAUCGGGUUCUGUUCGUCCACCUGAGGCACACAGGAUUUCAAGCAAGAGUUACAUGAUUCCUUUCCUACCAGUUACUUUGCCUUCCCUGCAUCUCUGCCUUGCUCAGCUUCCAGCAUUCCCAGCUGCUCCGUGCUGUGCAGUGCAUGGACUGUUUGCAGCACACUUGGUUUGCCAGAGCUCCAUCAGAGCACCACUCUGCCCACUGCACCGACUGAUGAACGCGUAAAUCAAAACUGCGGUUCAAGAAAAACCUUCUGCU
rnacentral:lncRNA from 1 species